UUCUUUAUCACCGAGUGCUUGCACUCACCGAUAAAGAGUUGAGUGGCGAACGGGUGAGUAACACGUGGGCAACCUGCCCAAAAGAGGGGGAUAACACUUGGAAACAGGUGCUAAUACCGCAUAACCAUAGUUACCGCAUGGUAACUAUGUAAAAGGUGGCUAUGCUACCGCUUUUGGAUGGGCCCGCGGCGCAUUAGCUAGUUGGUGGGGUAAAGGCUUACCAAGGCAAUGAUGCGUAGCCGAACUGAGAGGUUGAUCGGCCACAUUGGGACUGAGACACGGCCCAAACUCCUACGGGAGGCAGCAGUAGGGAAUCUUCCACAAUGGGCGAAAGCCUGAUGGAGCAACGCCGCGUGGGUGAAGAAGGUCUUCGGAUCGUAAAACCCUGUUGUUAGAGAAGAAAGUGCGUGAGAGUAACUGUUCACGUUUCGACGGUAUCUAACCAGAAAGCCACGGCUAACUACGUGCCAGCAGCCGCGGUAAUACGUAGGUGGCAAGCGUUAUCCGGAUUUAUUGGGCGUAAAGGGAACGCAGGCGGUCUUUUAAGUCUGAUGUGAAAGCCUUCGGCUUAACCGGAGUAGUGCAUUGGAAACUGGGAGACUUGAGUGCAGAAGAGGAGAGUGGAACUCCAUGUGUAGCGGUGAAAUGCGUAGAUAUAUGGAAGAACACCAGUGGCGAAAGCGGCUCUCUGGU
rnacentral:rRNA from 1 species